rnacentral:lncRNA from 1 species
UUUUUACAAUCCUUCUUCUUAAACUUACUUUUUUUUUUUUUAAAUCAGUCCAUUAGAUUUAGAAGAGAACACUUGAUGAGCUGCCACCAUUUAAUGCACAUGAAUAAAUGCAUGUACAUAUGUUGAAUCUAGAAUGCUUUUUAAACAUGCUAACUCUGAUAGUUCAGGAAGAACACACUGGUUGUUAGUUGACCUUCAUUAGCUUUUGUCAUUGGGAAAAAGUGUUUGUGUGAGCAUUUUUGCAAGAAUUGUGUGAGCUUAUGAACAUGUGACUGUUUGUGUCUCUUUUUUUUCCGUCAAGAAUCUUCUGUUUGUUAUUUACUUGGCAGGUUUAUUCUAUACUGAGGAGGACGAAACUCCAAAAGUUCAGGAUCACAAGCUCUUCAGCAGGAACUCACCCCUGUUUUCUUCAACAGCCUUCCGUACUGAUCUUUGGUCCUCCUUAAAACUGAUUUUAUCGGAGAUGCAUAGAAUGGUGGAUCUAUGAGAUAUUGCAGAUUUUACAAAUUGAAGGUUUGUGACAACUCCCUCAAGGAAGUCUGUUGGUGUUAUUUUUCCAACAGCAGGUACUCCAUGUCUGUGUCACAUUUUGGCCUUUAAGCCAAGAGAAGACAUACCUGAGCCAUUGAACCAGAAGGGCUGAGCCCCACCUGGAUCUGAUGCAGAUUAAAAUAUCCUGGACCUUGGGCCUGAGCUUGGAAUGGAAUAAGACCUUUGAGGAUCUUCUUGGAGAGUGAGU